rfam:Meiothermus ruber DSM 1279 genome.
GUCGUAGACCCCAUGGCUGAAGCCAGGGGCUUGGAGCCCGUCUAUGACGAGGCCAAGCGAUGGAGCCCAUGGACAAGGCGCUGAUGUCGCUACGUUGCGAACAGGUUCAAGACCCACUCCGGGGUGCUUCCCCAGCCCCGGACCCUGGCAGUCCCGGUUGCAGACAAGCUUUGGGGUGUGCGCGAAACGGAUCGGGACGUGCACCGGUUCGCAACAUGGCCGAGGGGAGCGGUAC